CCCCUAAGGUGAGGCCGAAAGGCGUAAUCGAUGGGAAACGGGUUAAUAUUCCCGUACUUCUGACUAUUGCGAUGGGGGGACGGAGAAGGCUAGGUGGGCCAGGCGACGGUUGUCCUGGUUCAAGUGCGUAGGCUUGAGAGUUAGGUAAAUCCGGCUCUCUCUAAGGCUGAGACACGACGUCGAGCUACUACGGUAGUGAAGUCAUUGAUGCCAUGCUUCCAGGAAAAGCCUCUAAGCUUCAGAUAGUCAGGAAUCGUACCCCAAACCGACACAGGUGGUCGGGUAGAGAAUACCAAGGCGCUUGAGAGAACUCGGGUGAAGGAACUAGGCAAAAUGGUACCGUAACUUCGGGAGAAGGUACGCUCUUGAUGGUGAAGUCCCUCGCGGAUGGAGCUGACGAGAGUCGCAGAUACCAGGUGGCUGCAACUGUUUAUUAAAAACACAGCACUGUGCAAAAUCGCAAGAUGACGUAUACGGUGUGACGCCUGCCCGGUGCCGGAAGGUUAAUUGAUGGGGUUAGCGCAAGCGAAGCUCUUGAUCGAAGCCCCGGUAAACGGCGGCCGUAACUAUAACGGUCCUAAGGUAGCGAAAUUCCUUGUCGGGUAAGUUCCGACCUGCACGAAUGGCGUAAUGAUGGCCACGCUGUCUCCACCCGAGACUCAGUGAAAUUGAAAUCGCUGUGAAGAUGCAGUGUACCCGCGGCUAGACGGAAAGACCCCGUGAACCUUUACUACAGCUUGGCACUGAACAUUGAACCUACAUGUGUAGGAUAGGUGGGAGGCUAUGAAGACGUGACGCCAGUUGCGUUGGAGCCGUCCUUGAAAUACCACCCUUGUAUGUUUGAUGUUCUAACUUAGACCCAUUAUCUGGGUUGAGGACAGUGCCUGGUGGGUAGUUUGACUGGGGCGGUCUCCUCCCAAAGAGUAACGGAGGAGCACGAAGGUGGGCUAAUCACGGUUGGACAUCGUGAGGUUAGUGCAAUGGCAUAAGCCCGCUUAACUGCGAGAAUGACGGUUCGAGCAGGUGCGAAAGCAGGUCAUAGUGAUCCGGUGGUUCUGUAUGGAAGGGCCAUCGCUCAACGGAUAAAAGGUACUCCGGGGAUAACAGGCUGAUACCGCCCAAGAGUUCAUAUCGACGGCGGUGUUUGGCACCUCGAUGUCGGCUCAUCACAUCCUGGGGCUGAAGUCGGUCCCAAGGGUAUGGCUGUUCGCCAUUUAAAGUGGUACGCGAGCUGGGUUUAGAACGUCGUGAGACAGUUCGGUCCCUAUCUGCCGUGGGCGUUGGAAGAUUGAAGGGGGCUGCUCCUAGUACGAGAGGACCGGAGUGGACGAACCUCUGGUGUUCGGGUUGUGUCGCCAGACGCAUUGCCCGGUAGCUAAGUUCGGAAUUGAUAAGCGCUGAAAGCAUCUAAGCGCGAAGCGAGCCCUGAGAUGAGUCUUCCCUGACAGUUUAACUGUCCUAAAGGGUUGUUCGAGACUAGAACGUUGAUAGGCAG
rnacentral:rRNA from 1 species